AUAGCCUACGGGGCGCAGCAGUGAGGAAUAUUGGUCAAUGGGCGCGAGCCUGAACCAGCCAAGUCGCGUGAGGGAAGACGGUCCUAUGGAUUGUAAACCUCUUUUGUCGAGGAGCAAAAGACGCCACGCGUGGCGUUCCGAGAGUACCCGAAGAAAAAGCAUCGGCUAACUCCGUGCCAGCAGCCGCGGUAAUACGUAGGGGGCAAGCGUUAUCCGGAAUUACUGGGUGUAAAGGGAGCGUAGACGGUUAAGUAAGUCUGGAGUGAAAGGCCGGGGCCCACCCCCGGGACUGCUCUGGAAACUAU
rnacentral:rRNA from 1 species